rnacentral:lncRNA from 1 species
UCAAGCACUAUAACUUUUAGGAACUUGGUCGUGGUGAGGGUUUACAAGUGACUUUUACGUCUCCAACCUGUCUAACAUUUCUGUUAGGAAGGAGCACCACUUCUAUUUGUUACACAUAAGUGGAAACAAGCCAAACCAAGCACACCACUAACAAAUAUCCUUAGUAUACAUGUUCCAUCACCUUAAUGCCCCGCUAGGGUUACAAGCUAGCGCUGGCU